rnacentral:rRNA from 1 species
AGAGUUUGAUCCUGGCUCAGAACGAACGCUGGCGGCAUGCCUAACACAUGCAAGUCGAACGCUUCUCUUCGGAGAGGAGUGGCGCACGGGUGAGUAACGCGUGGGAACCUGCCUUGGAGUGGGGGAUAACCGAUGGAAACGUCGGCUAAUACCGCAUACGUCCUGAGGGAGAAAGAUUUAUCGCUCUGAGAGGGGCCCGCGUCGGAUUAGCUAGUUGGUGGGGUAACGGCCUACCAAGGCGAUGAUCCGUAGCUGGUCUGAGAGGAUGAUCAGCCACACUGGGACUGAGACACGGCCCAGACUCCUACGGGAGGCAGCAGUGGGGAAUAUUGGACAAUGGGCGCAAGCCUGAUCCAGCAAUGCCGCGUGAGUGAUGACGGCCUUAGGGUUGUAAAGCUC